UUAGAAUUUUCUAGCAAGUAGUGUCUGUUUGGGGGCUAUACCUGCAACCUGAACUUCCUCGUCCCUCCCUCCCACCAUCCCCAGCUAGCAUAUAAUAGGCUAUGUGGAUCCAAUCAACUCUCUGUUCCCUCAGUAAUUCAGAUGCCCAAAGUUAAGAAUGUCAAAGGAGCAGGGAUGGAGAGUGGAUUAUGGGAUCCACAUAGCCAAAGGGUCCUGACCUUUUCUAGUCAUCCCAGUCAUGCAGAUAAUUACAUUGCCUGUAAAGGGUUAAACCCAGAAAUAGAGAGUAUCCAGGAAGUGUUGGCAGAGAGCCAAUGGGAAGAGAGUGAGAGAGUUGAAUAGAAAAACAGGUUCUCCCUGCUUCAGUUCUUUGUGUGAGUUCAUCAGAGCAAGAGCUGGGAGAGAAAUGAACUGAGCCACAAAUAAGGCAUGGAUUUUCCAGCAAUAUCCAUGUCUAAGAAAAAAGCCUAAACAACAGAGUUUCUGAAUUUGUCUAGCUUCAACUGCCAGCCAACUCUUCUCUAAACCCUCUCUACUAAUUGAUCAACAUGCUUUUUGAAUUGUGGACUCUAGAAGUGGAGUCAGUAUUCCAGCAGUGGUUGCAACAGUGCCAACUACUGAGUCUGUAAGAACAUCCUGCCUGUUCCUUUCUAAGAGAAAUUGCUUUCUCUAAAAUGAACUGUCCUUUGUGUAACUGAGGAAUGUGAGAAGACAAAAGACAGAAGACUCCAGCACCAGAUGUUCAACAUGGAUAACUAGGUGGUGUGAACUCAGGCACCCGUCAAACUCAGGAUGGCUCAAGAGGGGCAGAAUUGACUCUAAAGCAAAAGGCAUACACCUGUGAGUGAGAUCUGUGAAUGAGAUAAACCAGCUGCAGUCACUCCCAGGAUCUGAUGGAGCAUGACAACGGAAGCAGCCUUGAGUCUUCUGUGUUCCUUCAAAUGAAGUUCACCCUUUCAGAAGAUCAGCAUCAGAUAUCAGCAACAAUUAAGUUAAACUUAAGACAUAUUUUGAGAGCACUAAUGGGACUUAAAUUAUCACAUGCUGGAUCUCUGCACAAGGUAAACAUCACCCUUAGUAAACAGAUUUUUUUUGUACAUUGUUAAUAUAGGGCACAUGGAAAUAUUCCUUGUCUAGAUGUUGGAGAUUGAUUGCUAUCAUUUUAGGGAUGUGAGAUGGCAAUAUUGUUUUGUUUUCCAAACAUAUUAAAAC